GGUACAAGAGCUUACGGUGUCCUAGCCCAGACCGGGAUUCGAACCUGAGCCUAAGUUUGUGUGUGGUGCCUGCUGCUUAUCACACUGUUUACCUACUCAGCUUUAUCAGUUUCAACAUUUUGAUAAGACAUGUUCACCAAGCCUAAAGUGAUUCAUU